rnacentral:rRNA from 1 species
CAGCAGCCGCGGUAAUACGAAGGGUGCAAGCGUUAAUCGGAAUUACUGGGCGUAAAGCGUGCGUAGGCGGUUUGUUAAGUCUGCUGUGAAAUCCCCGGGCUCAACCUGGGAAUGGCAGUGGAUACUGGCAAGCUAGAGUGUGUCAGAGGAUGGUGGAAUUCCCGGUGUAGCGGUGAAAUGCGUAGAGAUCGGAAGGAACAUCUGUGGCGAAGGCGACUAUCUGGGCCAACACUGACACUGAGGCACGAAAGCGUGGGGAGCAAACAGGAUUAGAUACCCCGGUAGUCCCUGUCUCUUAUAC